rnacentral:lncRNA from 7 species
GAGAUGGAACCAUCCAAAAUCACAGUUUAGCAAGGCCUGGGGAGAAAACUCAGUGGUGCCCAGCAGGUGAGAGAUGGGCACUGGGAGGAGCAUUGGAGCUGAAAAAGUGAGCACAGUGCUGAUGGGUCUCCUAAUGCAGAGCACUGUAGUGAGAAGUUGUAUUGAGGUCAGUGAUGGGACACACCUCUGAAAUGCAGAUAACAUGCGCUGCUGGAGAGGCUGGGGGGCUCCCAUCAUGGCCCUCAGAGAGCAUUCCACUCCUCCUUUACAGAUGCUCCCAGUACACACUGGAGAAUAAAAGUUAGAAGGCGACAAAUACUUCAGGACUGCACUCACACUAUGUUGAGUUCUGUAGAAUUUUUGCUGACAACCUUGAAGCCAGAGGGAAACCACAGCUUUGUUUUACUUAAAAAGGUCUCUGACUAAGAAACUGAAAGACUGUUAAGAAACUGUUAGCAUCUGUGAUGAUACCACGUCCAAAGAAAUCUUUGAAAAGGCCAAAUCAUGUGAAGGAUAUUUGCUUUAUUGUCCUGCAGUAAUACUCUGGAAAUUACCAUUAAAGGAAUAUUUUGCUGAGAAAAUAAAAGCUGCUUUCUCCUGAGGCCAAAAUUUAAGCAAAGAGGACAGGAGAUGUUUUCUGAGCAUGUGACCCCUUGAAGUUCUGAGAGGAAGUACAUUACAUUUUUCAGCUGGAAAAGAGGACCCAGAUCUCUCAGUCCUGGGCUCUGAGCCAAGAAGAACUGCUUUAGCCUUUCCCACAUUCAGCAACUGCUUGCAUUUCAAUAGCACAGUCUAGAUACUGUCAAAAACUGCUCUGGAGGUGGAUCUGGUCCUUAUCUACAGCUACAUUACUGACAUGUAUAUCAGUGCUUUCAAUACAUUUACAGUCAAAUGGCUUUAAAGACUGUGGAAACUUGUAUAUACAUCUUUUAACAAGAAAAAAACAGAAGUCCUUACAGUCAGUAAUGUUGGAGUCAGUGUACUCUGUCUGUGUACACCCUUAGCUGCAGGUCUUUUGAAAACUGGUCUGAAAGAAAGGGCUAUUUCUUUUGUACACAUGUAAAUGUUUUGCAAACAAAGAGCAUCAGCAAAGUUAAAAUGCACUGCGUCCUCAUACAUUGAACUUCAAAUGAGUUUAAAUGAAGUUAAGAUAGAUUGGCCUCAGAUGUUGUUCAAACCCACUUGUAAAGCUCCAGUGAGUUAAGUUUCCUUGCUAUUGAUCAUAUGGAUGGCACAGAGUAACUGUGACUCCUGUAGUGAGCAACGGCUAUAUUUUUUAACAGAAGGAGAAAUGGACAGCCAUGAUUAAAAGUUUAAGUGAGAGAAAUCCACUUCAGAGUGAAAUUUCAUGUUUUUUGAAGUCAGAAGUAAUCUUGCCAUUGGUAUCACUGGAGCUGGCAUCAGCACUGAAACUGCUCAUUCAUUUUCAUGUAUGCUGAAAUCCGAGAGAAUAAAGUAGAUUUUCCUUCUUGCUAUACCCACAGUAUGGGCCUUUGAUGAGAGAUCUGUUGAAUGAGAAUGAUUCCACUCAUUUAACAAUUAAAAAAGUCUCUAAAACAG